CUUGAAGAGUGAACUAGAAUUCCCCCUUCCCUUAAACUGAAGUUACAGAAGCUUUCUAGGAAAUUGGCUCAAAUUUAAAAUGUUUUCAUAUUAGGUAAAUAUUUAUAAAAAAUAAGUAUAAUGUAGCUGCCAGAGUAUAGGCAGUGCUGAAGAAUGGAGGCUGAAAAAGCUUCCCCAUUCAUGAGCUGGAUAUGAAGAAGCUAGCAUGACCUAACCAUCAUGUGCAACUCCAUUUGGAAGGAAUCGCACCUCUUUCUUAGUAAAGAGUAUUCUGCAGUGGAACACCCUAUCACAGUCUAAACAUACUGUGAGUACCUGCUGUUGAGUUGAGGAAGAGUGAAAGUUGACAAAAUAAAGAUGCCUAUUACCAGUAGAAAGGAAAUAAUUGUGCUGGAAGCCAGAAGUAGGACCUUCUCAGGGGAUCAUACCUUCGGGACAACAUGAACACUUGCUGAAUUCUACUCCUGCUAAAUGCUUCUGGUGUAGCACUGUAAAAUGCCAGUAGAUGGCAGAAUGAUGCUGCUUUUCAAUAUACAUCGGUAGGAAUUUUUAAAAAAGAAUAAUUCUUCUGCGUUUAUUUACACAAAACUGAUUGUGAAGGAGAAAGCUCAGUGAAUGCAUUAGCUGGCUGUGGCCUUCUGCUUCCAUAAACACAAUUCUCUUGUGCUUGGUUUGUGAUGUUUUUGUUUUUCUUUUUUUUUUUUUUUUUUUUAGUAAUACCAAUUUUUAUCCUCAAAAGACAGUAUAACUGAUGUAAGUGUGGGUGUUCUGAUGCACAUCAACUUCUUAUUUGUUUUUCAGAUCAGUCACGUCUUUGUCCUUGAUUCCAUAGAGCUUUUGUGAAAUGGCACUGUUCUGGUAUACUGGGCAUGACCUCAAUACCUGCACAGCAGCUGGGGGCCCGGCUCAGAGAACAUGAUAAGACUAUAGUAAGAUGGCCAUGGCUGCUCCCUUCUUGUUUGCUGACAGCCAACAGCUCUGCAUGUGGCUGAAUCACACAGGAAACAGGUUCUGGACUGCUGCUGGCUGUGGUCCAGUGGAUGUCCAGUGUAUUAAAGUAAAUCAGUGUCAAUUAACAGCAUCCUGUUCAUUUCCAAAAGCGAAUUAAAUACUAGCCAAAGUGUUAUCAGCUUUAUAUAAAUAGAAGUGUUCAGAGCAAUUGCACUGAAAUGUUCAA